GGAAUAGUUCUGAUUAAAUUAAAAGGGAAAGCAGUUAAAAUCUGCUACAGCCCCCGCUACUGUAAUGGAGGACUACCUCAAGAUAUCCACUGGGAUUUUAUAUCUUGGGAAGGAUGAGUGUUAAGGAUGAUACCAGAGUCAGGAGACCUGCCUGUAAUUAUU
rnacentral:ncRNA from 1 species